UCAAGGUAACUCGGAAUGCGUCUUGUGAGAAUGGUAGAUUUAUCGGCCCAGGCAGGUUAACUGAACAGGCUUCAUCUUCACUGUUAACGGAUCAGAGGUUGCGAUGCU
rnacentral:SRP_RNA from 15 species